CCCUGAAAUGCUGGGCACACUGACUAGCCUCUUGUAUAGAGUCUCAAGCCUGUGGCCAGAAGCAGCUGUGUGAAGUAGCCGCUGUGAUGGAUUGGGACCACAGAUACCACUUUGGAAGGAAAGGUUCCAGAAACCAAAGCUUGGGCCAUGGGUCUCUGGGAAACUGCAGCAGGAGUUUAGAGUCUAAUGGAUGGAACACAGAAGCAGGAAAAAAAUUGCUGUAGAAUAUGAUAAAGAUUAAUAGAGGUAUGUACAAAG
rnacentral:lncRNA from 1 species